rnacentral:lncRNA from 1 species
GAAUUCUUAACCUAUAAAGAGGAAGCUCUUCUCUCUCCCAGAAUCGAUCGCCUUCGCCUCAGCUUUUACUUCUCUCCCAAAGCUUUAGAUCACCCUGUUCUUUCAUGGAGAAACCUCUGGCAUCGUCUUCUCCUUGCCCAGGUCCCAACUUAUCCUCUGACGAUGAUAAGUUUUCCCAACGAUGGCCUUUUCGUCGCUGGAUUGGGAUGAAGAAGGGAAGAGAUGAGACUAAGGUAGGGAACGCUGAACCAAAAUCUUCCCGUGCGUCGAUAAAGAAGUCGCCGCAGGAGCAGCAGCAGCAGCAAAACGGGCUGAUGCCGCUACGGUUCGCGCCACAGUUCGAUGGGCUUCACUUGUUUGAGACCAUGGUCUCUCAUUAAGAUCUCUCUUUCAUUAUUUCGUGGCGUCUUUUUAUUUUUAUUUUUUUUUUAAAAAGAAGUCUUUUUGUCCUUCUUGUAGCUACCUCUAGGGAGAUCUUCGAUUGAUUAAGUUGUUAGCAGUGAAACUAUAUGUUAAGAAGCAAGAGUGUUGAUUCUGUAGGGUAUUAAGUUUAAUUAUAGCAUGAUUCUUUAUUUGCUGUCUUCUCGUUUUCAGCCUGGAAAUCCAUAACAGGAUUUCUCUCCAGAAAGAUAAAGAGCUUUUUUUUAAAAAAAAAAAAAUCAGUUGCUCAGAUAUCGUAUGACUAAACAUAAUUAAUUAUAUGAGCAAAUCUGGCAUUGAAUUCUCAGUCUAAUUUUUUUUAUUAGACAUGCAAGAACAAACAAAUUGAAUCAGCCCCUCGCUUUUUAAAGUUAGUGACUCAUUGAGUAGGUGAGACCACAAUCCAAAUAUUUGGAACGUUUUAGUGGAGCCGCGAGGGAUAGAACCGCGACGGGUUCAUAAAUCAGUCGGAAAUAAAUCUCGAAGCAGUUGAGGCCAUUGGUCCCAUGCAUGGUGUCCAACUAAUCCCGCGAAUUCAGCAUCCAUCGGCCUCCAAUCACUACUCUUUUCGAUCCUUGCCCUCCGCUCGUUCCUGG